CAGAUUUUGAAAGGUGCCGAGCCGGCCGCUCCUCAGGUGGAGUGUGAAGUGCUGCAGGUCACGUCACGUGUAGAAAUGUCAAGUGGGAGAGAAAAGGAAGGCUGCCUGGAGCUGGAGUAUGCGCCAGCGUCGUAUAAGUCUGGUGUGUGGGAACAUUUUGGAUUUCAUGUUACCUAUGAUGACAGCGGAAAUAAAACAAUAGAUAGAACUGCCACUG